ACGAACACUGCAGGUCUGCAGACAACGGCUCUGUGCUGCCCGGAGGGCUGUUAACGGCAGCUAAACCUGACGAAGCGGGCACAGGAGGAAAGGGGCAGUGAGCUUUUUCAUGUUAGUAUUAUGGACAUUGAAUCGGGACUCUUUGGAAUGCAUAAGUGACAUGCAAAGCGGUACAAGGACGGGUACCGGCUUCCGUGUACGUCACUUCCGCUCUAGAAGGGAAAGAGGAAGUUUGUUAUGGAGCUGUGGCUAUGGAACGCACACAUGAGUACGAGUGACAGCUUCCAAAUCAUGCGGUCAAUUUGUCCCAUUGCAUCGAAUCAAGCCCUAUUUAUGUGCCUUUAUAAGAACUAAGGAGCACCUGUACCAUCACACAUCUGAUGAAGUAUCCAGUGACGUGCGGUGGGGUGAGGCAAGUGAGGUAGAGCCUAGUCUGUCAUACUAACUUUUGUGCCAGAGUUUUGAUUGUAUAAAGUAUAUGAAAAUUACAAAGAAUAUGUUUGAAAUAUCUUCUUUGCAUUAUUCUAAUUGUUUUUAUAGCCAAAACUCUGGAGUAAAAAGUCUAUUGCAGGUGAGGCAGUGCCUCACCUGCUUACCUUUUCCGCCCAUCUCUUAUCAAAACUCCCCAAAUUUCCAGGAGUUUAUACUGCUGCACCUUUGUAUAGUGCCCAGAUGUACCCUUUGGCUCAUAUAUUGCAUGUAAAUCUAGCUCUGGUGCAAGCCAGUGCCUCCUGAGCCAUUUAGCUCACCGCACGCCCCGGGAAGUAUCCAGUGAGGUCCGAAAAUGCGUUCAUGUGGGACUACUGACACCUCUUAUUUGGACAGAUGCCGGGUAUCGUCACGGGAGGGUAUUGCAGAUUCCGGACCUGCAUCCACCCACCACUAUUUUGCUGACAUCUGUGGGAGCCCGUAAGAUGCCCAGAUGGUUGUUGCAUUGCCAUUAGAGGAUGUUGAUUAUGCUAUUUUUAAUCCUGUGUUUUGUGAGUGCAAUUUAUUAAAUAUAUAUGUUCUUUGUGAAGA